rnacentral:rRNA from 1 species
CAAAAACAUCGCCUCCAGCAAAAAUCAAUGUAUUGGAGGUCUUGCCUGCCCAGUGACUAAGUUAAACGGCCGCGGUAUUCUGACCGUGCAAAGGUAGCGCAAUCACUUGUCUUUUAAAUGAAGACCUGUAUGAAUGGUGGAACGAGGGCUUAACUGUCUCCCCCCUCUAGUCAAUGAAAUUGAUCUAUCCGUGCAGAAGCGGGUAUAAUUAUACAAGACGAGAAGACCCUUUGGAGCUUAAGAUUAAAGAUCAACUAUGUCAAAAGUCCUAAAAAAGAAACUAAACUAAAUAGAACUGGUUUCAACCUUCGGUUGGGGCGACCACGGGAGAAAACAAAGCUCCCAUGUGGAUAGGGACUAACCCUAAAACUAAGAAAGACAUCUCUAAGGCACAGAACAUCUGACCAUAAAGAUCCGGCUAAAUGCCGACCAACGGACCAAGUUACCCUAGGGAUAACAGCGCAAUCCCCUUCCAGAGUCCAUAUCGACAAGGGGGUUUACGACCUCGAUGUUGGAUCAGGACAUCCUAAUGGUGCAGCCGCUAUUAAGGGUUC